rnacentral:pre_miRNA from 1 species
AGUAGAAUUGCUAGAUCAUAUAGUAGUUCUGUAUUCAGUUUUUUUGAGAAAUUUUCAUGAUGUUUUUCAUAAUGGCUAUGAUAAUUUACAAUUCCACUGGCAAU